ACAGCAGCAGCCGCGGGAAUACAGAGGAUGCAAGCGUUAUCCGGAAUGAUUGGGCGUAAAGCGUCUGUAGGUGGCUUUUCAAGUCCGCCGUCAAAUCCCAGGGCUCAACCCUGGACAGGCGGUGGAAACUACCAAGCUGGAGUGCGGUAGGGGCAGAGGGAAUUUCCGGUGGAGCGGUGAGAUGCGUUGAGAUCGGAAAGAACACCAACGGCGAAAGCACUCUGCUGGGCCGACACUGACACUGAGAGACGAAAACUAGGGGAGCAAAUGGGAUUAGAUACCCCUGUAGUCCCUGUCUCUUAUAC
rnacentral:rRNA from 1 species